rnacentral:rRNA from 1 species
CCUACGGGGUGCUGCAGUGAGGAAUAUUGGUCAAUGGACGAGAGUCUGAACCAGCCAAGUAGCGUGAAGGAUGACUGCCCUAUGGGUUGUAAACUUCUUUUAUAUGGGAAUAAAAUGUUCCACGUGUGGGAUUUUGUAUGUACCAUAUGAAUAAGGAUCGGUUAACUCCGUGCCAGCAGCCGCGGUAAUACGGAGGAUCCGAGCGUUAUCCGGAUUUAUUGGGUUUAAAGGGAGCGUAGGUGGAUUGUUAAGUCAGUUGUGAAAGUUUGCGGCUCAACCGUAAAAUUGCAGUUGAAACUGGCAGUCUGGAGUACAGUAGAGGUGGGCGGAAUUCGUGGUGUAGCGGUGAAAUGCUUAGAUAUCACGAAGAACUCCGAUUGCGAAGGCAGCUCACUGGACUGCAACUGACACUGAGGCUCGAAAGUGUGGGUAUCAAACAGGAUUAGAUACCCCGGUAGUC